rnacentral:rRNA from 1 species
CCUACGGGAGGCAGCAGUAGGGAAUCUUCCGCAAUGGACGAAAGUCUGACGGAGCAACGCCGCGUGAACGAUGAAGGCCUUCGGGUCGUAAAGUUCUGUUGUUAGGGAAGAACAAGUGCUAGUUGAAUAAGCUGGCACCUUGACGGUACCUAACCAGAAAGCCACGGCUAACUACGUGCCAGCAGCCGCGGUAAUACGUAGGUGGCAAGCGUUGUCCGGAAUUAUUGGGCGUAAAGCGCGCGCAGGCGGUUUCUUAAGUCUGAUGUGAAAGCCCCCGGCUCAACCGGGGAGGGUCAUUGGAAACUGGGAAACUUGAGUGCAGAAGAGGAAAGUGGAAUUCCAAGUGUAGCGGUGAAAUGCGUAGAGAUUUGGAGGAACGACCAGUGGCGAAGGCGACUUUCUGGUCUGUAACUGACGCUGAGGCGCGAAAGCGUGGGGAGCAAACAGGAUUAGAUACCCUGGUAGUCCACGCUGUAAACGAUGAGUGCUAAGUGUUAGAGGGUUUCCGCCCUUUAGUGCUGAAGUUAACGCAUUGAGCACUCCGCCUGGGGAGUACGGUCGCAAGCUGAAACUUAAAGGAAUUGACGG